rnacentral:lncRNA from 1 species
CACGCGCCUCCCGAAGAUUCGCCUCGGCGCGCGCGUGAAACUCACGCGCCACCGCCGUCCGCCGGAGCCACCGCGAGUUCCGGCCACGCGCCGCCGUCUCCGACCAACGUUCGCCGGAGCCGCCGUGACCGACCACCGUCCGUCCACCGCCGGGUCGCCGCCGUCGCUGCCGUUGAUUUUCCGGUAAGCCGCCGCCGUCGCCGCCGGCGACCGACACCGGUGACUCGCCGGUGACUCGCCAACUCGGCCGAGUCAACCCGGUGAGUCAACUCGGUGACUCGGUCAACCGGUGGUUUGACCGGUUUAAAUCGAUUUCGAUUCGGUUUGAUUAAACCGGUCGGUUAAAAUCAAUUGGAAAUCGGUUAGGGAAAACCGGAUUAAUUAAUUAAUUAAUUAAUUAAUUAAUUAAUUAAUUAAUUAAAUUAUUAAUCUUUGACCAGCAGGUUGACUUUCCCGUAAAUACCCGUUUUAAACCGUUCGAAAGGCGUUCUGACUCGAAAUUUCGAUCUGAUUUCAGAUUUGGAGUCCAUUUGAGCAGCUGGAGUUCAUAGAUACCACCUCUUAUUGUUGCUAAGGUGAGGGUCUAUUCCCGAACUCCUCUUAUUCGGCUUAGGACCUCGAAUAAGUAUAAUUUAUUUUUAAUGUGUUCCGUCUGUGUGAAAUCGAGUCUGUCAUUGCUUGUUUAGUUUUAGGUUCUUUGCAUAAACCGGAACUAGGGGGUUAGAGGAUUCAACAUUGAUUGUUUCACUUAAUGUAAAUUCUUAGCUAGGAUUGUUUUUGUUUGGAGACGGAUACAGAGUCGGACUGCUGUAUGCCGGAUUGUAUGGAGGUCACGGCCAACUUUAGUCGACCGGUUGAGCCGUAGACUGGAAGUGUCGAUAAAUCGUCUACGGGCGUGUGUUACCGAGCACUUUUUCGGUGUGUGUAUGAACCGAGCACCUUUUCGGUAGUGUUUUGGCCUGUUAGUGGGCGGCGAGUGCGCACCUCGCUAGGACCAUUGUUUGUUGCUUGAGUACUUUAGGUACUGUGUUUGACAUGCAUUAGAAUUAAAUUAUAUUUAUUCGGAGUGCUAUGUCCGGGUCCAUGGACUUCGGGGUAGCAUCCCAUACCUCGCUGAGCGAUUCCCCUGUCGCUCACCCCUCAUUCUUUCCCCCUUUUAGGUGAGACCGAUGAGCAGGAGUGAUUAUCGGACCGGUGCUAUUGGGCUUUUGGGCUUCUAUCGCUUUUACCGCUUUUAUCUUUAUCGGGCCUUUAGGCCUUUGGACUUUUAUCGUCUAUGUUAUUCCUAUUUCAGACUUUCGGUUUAUAUCGUAUUUUAUAUUUCGGAUGUUAUCGAUGUUGGGCUUUUUGGCCUUUUGUUACCGUAUUGACUUUUAUAUUAUAUGAAGAUUAUUAUUAUUUGAGUUGUAUUAUUAUUUUAUUUUCGCUUUUAUCAAUUUAUUAUAUUUUGAAAGUGGCGGGUGUCACAAUUUGGUAUCAGAACGGGUUCCGUCCCGGCUCCGACCCGGGAUGGCGAUUUUUGGAGACCUGGUUUUAUUCGGUUUUGACGGUUUUACACGAUUUCAAAAUAUUUUCGGGGAUUUGGGAAUUUUGAAAAUAAAAAUAAAUAGCACCUUUUCGUUCGAUAUCACUGCUCCUUAAAAUGUUGGUAUCCAAAGUUCAGCGUAAGUUAACUUUUCGCUUUCCUUUUAGAUGCCGCCAAGGAGAAGAACCACCCGUGCCCAGACCGCCAGAGCCGUUAGAGACAAUGUAGAUGAGCAUGAGCAGCCCGCAGUUCCACCACCCGCGGCUCCACCAGUUGAUCAGGAUGCAUUGAGACAGAUGGUUCAGGAUGCCGCUAGACAGGCCGCUCAGGAAGCACUUCAGCAGAUUGCCCAGGAGGCAGCCAGGCAGGCCGCUCAGGAGGCCGCCCGAGUAGCUGCUCAGGAGGUUGCUCGUCAGAUGGCUGCCGUUCAGCCGGGAGCUUCAUGGUUCUCUAAGAUUGACUUGGCAUCGGGAUACCACCAGAUUGCGAUAUCUGAGGGAGAUGUGCGGAAGACGGCAUUCCGUACCCGUUAUGGACAUUACGAGUUUGUGGUGAGAUCAGCAGAUUCCAGCUCAGCAUGAUCAUCAGGAUCCCGUUCAGCAGGUUCCCCUUCCACAGGUUCCUCUGCAGCAGGGUCCAGUUCAGCAGUUUGCUCAUGGUGUUCAGGAUCUACCGCCACCACCACCGCGACCUCAUGUUUACCCGGUUUAUAAUGAGAGGUUCUACAGGCUAACAUGUCAGAUGAGAAACAUGGAGAUGGAGCAUUUUAGCGGGACAGUGGAUGCUGUAGCUGCACACGAUUGGAAGUUAGCCUUGCAGCGGAAGCUGGAGAUUAUUGAGUGUCCACCAGAGUUGUCGCUCAGAUUGACUAUGCAGUACCUUCGUGGAGAUGCUCUUAUAUGGUGGGAGGGAAUACGAUUGAGCCAUUUUGGGCCAGAGAGACUUACUUUCGCUGAUUUCAUUCGAGAGUUCGAUAGGAAAUACUUUCCGAAGGAAGCGAUGGAUAGGAAGAAGUGCGAGUUCGAGCAUGUAAGCCAGGGAGAGAUGUCUAUCAGGGAGUAUGAGGUUGUGUUCAACCAACUUCGCAGAUUUGCAGGAGUGGGCAUUUCAGAAGAAGACUUGAUUAGAAAGUUUUUGAGUGGGAUGCGAGUGGAGAUUCGUAACAGGUGUCGCGUAGUCACUUACCACCGGUUGGGAGAUUUGGUGGAGAAAGCUGCCGAGCAGGAGGCAGGCUUGGCGGAGGAGAAGGAACUCGCCAAAGCAGUUCAUGUUAAGUCUGGAAAAGCUCCAGAGUCUCAAAGGAGAGCAGGGGACCCGUCGGGAUUACCGAUAUGUCCUCGUUGCCAUCGCAGUCACAGUGGGCAGUGUAUGAGGUGUCUUACUUGCGGUAGGAUUGGACACAUUGCGAAGUUUUGUCGAGCUAGGCCAUUGGAUACGCCACCAGUCAGACAGAUUGCAGCACCAGCAGCACCAGCAGCUGCACAUGUUUGCUUUGGCUGUGGUCAGCCAGGUCACUUCAUCAGAGAUUGCCCGAGGAAGGACAAUGCGACACUUCCACCACCACCGAAGCGUCUAGCCAUCGCUCCACGUGUGUUUGCGGUUGGAGAUCCUCAGGGAGCUGAGCCGAUAGCAGGUAUGAGUCUUUUCCAUACUUGUUUGUGUUUGGGUAUUUUGGCUCGUGGUUGUCAUGUGUAGUUAGUAAAAAUCUCGUGUAGGAUCGGUUUUAGUUGGAGGAGAGUCAGCUUAUACCUUAUUCGACACGGGAGCCUCUCAUAGUUUUGUGAGUCCGCGCUUAGUCCAGUCUUGGUCUUUUCGUGGAGUCUUUGAACCGAAGGCUAAGCAGAUCCAGACUGCCGGCACGGAGAAGUUGGGUGCAGUUGGCAUUCAUCACGAUGUACCAGUUCUACUUGGAGGAGUCGAGUUGCUCGGAGAUUUGACGGAGAUGGAGAUGAGCUCCUACGAUGUUAUACUUGGGAUGGAUUGGCUGUCGCGACAUCGAGUAGUCUUGGAUUGUCCGAAGGCAAGAGUUAAUAUCCCUAGAGAAGAAGGAAAUAUCAUUUGCGAGGGAAUUCAGACACACCGGGAAAUUUCUAUCGUCUCCAUGUUGCGUGCAGAAGAGUUAUUGGAAAGUGGAGCAGAGGGAUUCUUGGCAACCAUUUCGAUGGUUAAGGAGGACGGUCAACAGAAGCUGCAUGAUAUACCAGUGGUCGCCGAGUACGAGGAUGUUUUUGAGCCUUUAAAAGGGCCACCACCAGCUAGAGCGGACGUUCUUACAAUAGAAGUAGAGCCAGGAGCAGCACCAAUUUCACGAGCUCCAUACCGUCUCGCACCAACUGAGAUGGCAGAGUUAAAGAAACAAUUGGAGGAGCUAUCUGAUAAGGGGUUUAUCAGGCCGAGUACGUCACCGUGGGGAGCACCAGUGUUGUUUGUGAAGAAGAAAGAUGGGAGUUUCAGACUUUGUAUAGAUUACAGAGGUUUGAACAAAGUGACCAUCAAGAAUAAGUACCCGCUCCCGCGUAUCGACGAGUUGUUGGACCAGUUGCAGGGAGCUUCAUGGUUCUCUAAGAUUGACUUGGCAUCGGGAUACCACCAGAUUGCGAUAGCUGAGGGAGAUGUGCGGAAGACGGCAUUCCGUACCCGUUAUGGACAUUACGAAUUUGUGGUGAUGCCAUUUGGGUUGACAAACGCACCAGCCGCGUUCAUGAAGCUUAUGAAUGAUGUAUUCUGUGAGCACUUAGAUAAGUGUGUGAUCGUUUUCAUAGAUGACAUCUUGGUUUAUUCUCGGAGUAGAGAGGAGCAUGCUGAACAUUUGCGAAUUGUGUUGGGUAAGCUUCGGGAACAUCAGUUAUUUGCCAAGCUGAGUAAGUGUAGCUUUUGGCAGAAGAAGAUUGGAUUUUUGGGUCACGUGGUUUCAGAAGCAGGAGUUGCCGUAGAUCAGGAGAAGAUUAGCGCCAUUUCAGAGUGGCCGACACCUAAGAAUGCGACGGAGAUCCGCAGUUUUCUCGGUUUGGCAGGAUACUACAGAAAGUAUGUCAAAAAUUUUGCUAGCAUUGCAAAGCCAAUGACACGGCUAACAGGAAAAGACACCGAGUUUGAUUGGACAGAGGAAUGUUCGGGGAGUUUCACUGAGUUGAAGCGACAGCUGACCCAUGCGCCAGUUUUGGUACUCCCGAGGCCAGGGGUACCAUAUGAUGUUUACACUGAUGCGUCAGGCACCGGAUUGGGAUGUGUACUGAUGCAGGAAGGUCAGGUCAUUGCCUAUGCAUCACGACAGUUGAGGCCUCACGAGACCAAUUAUCCUACUCAUGAUUUGGAGUUGGCAGCAGUUGUAUUUGCAUUAAAGAUCUGGAGGUCAUACUUGUAUGGAGAGAAGGUGAAGAUUUUCACGGACCACCAGAGUCUGAAGUACAUAUUUACGCAAACGGACUUGAAUUUGAGGCAGCGUAGAUGGAUGGAGUUGUUAGCAGACUACAAUUUGGAGAUCACAUAUCACCCGGGAAAAGCCAAUCAUGUGGCGGAUGCCUUGAGUAGGCGCAGAAGCGAUAUAUCGGGAACCAAAGAGGUCCAGGAGCUUACUGGGACACUUGCUAGUCUAAGAUUAUGUGCAGUUACUAUAGAGGGAGAGUCAGUUGGCGCUGAGGCUGUAGAGCGGGCAGACUUACUAUGGAGGAUACGCAAAGCUCAGGAUAGUGAUGAAGCUUUGCGUAAGCAGAUCGAGAUGGAGAGUAUUGGUUUUCAUACAGCCACCAACGGGAUGUUCAUGUAUCGAAACAGGAUUUGUGUGCCCAAUGAUGAGUUGUUAAGAAAGGAGAUAUUACGGCAAGCACACCACUCGAGUUUCUCGAUUCAUCCAGGAAAUACCAAGAUGUAUAGGGAUCUGAAGCGAUAUUACCAUUGGCCUGGUAUGAAGAGAGAUGUUGCUUCAACUGUAUCGCAAUGUCAGACGUGUCAGAUGGUUAAAGCCGAGCAUUAGGUUCCUAGCGGGUUAUUACAAAACCUGCCAUUACCUGAGUGGAAAUGGGACAUGGUAACUAUGGAUUUCGUGACGGGUUUACCGACUACAUCAGGAGGGAAGAAUGCCAUAUGGGUAAUCGUGGAUAGACUUACGAAGUCAGCCCAUUUUCUAGCAGUUAAGAAGACAGACAGAGCUGAUCAGCUAGCACAGACUUACAUCAGCGAGAUUGUAAGAUUGCAUGGAGUUCCGGUCAGCAUUGUAUCGGAUCGGGAUACAAAGUUCACGUCUGAGUUUUGGAGAGCCUUCCAAAAGGCGCUUGGGACGAAAGUUCAUAUGAGUACGGCUUAUCACCCGCAAACAGAUGGUCAGUCAGAGAGGACUAUUCAGACUUUGGAGGAUAUGCUCAGAGCUUGUGUUUUAGAUUGGGAAGGUAGUUGGGUGAAGUAUCUACCUCUAGCCGAGUUUGCCUACAACAACAGCUAUCAUUCGAGUAUUGGGAUGGCACCAUAUGAGGCUCUAUAUGGUAGGCCUUGUCGCACACCACUUUGUUGGACGGAAGUGGGAGAGCGACGUGAGAUAGGACCAGCCAUGGUUCAAGAGACAGUCGAACAGGUUGAGAUGCUCAAGAUGCGGCUUAAGGAAGCCCAUGACCGUCAGAAGAGUUAUGCAGAUAAACGGCGAAGAGAUUUGGAGUUUCAGGUUGGCGACCUGGUAUACCUAAAAAUGAGGACAUUUCAGGGAGGAUCUAAGACUCGGAAGCUAAAGAAGCUUAAACCGAGAUAUAUGGGACCAUAUCCUAUUUUGGAGCGGAUUGGAGCAGUUGCUUACCGACUAGAUUUAUCAGGAGAGUUAUCAGAUUUCCAUGACGUGUUUCAUGUUUCCGUUUUGAGGAAAGUAGUGAGAGAGCCAGAGCUCAUUUUGCAGCAACCACCUAGAAACCUUGGCAAAGGGUUACGUGGGUUGUGCCAACCAGUAGAGAUAUUGGAUCGCCAAGUGAAAGCAGAUCGUGGAAUGAUGACCAUGUUGAUCAAGGUUCGUUGGGAGGGAGACGGAAUUCAGGAGGAUACCUGGGAGUCCGAGCCCCAAAUGAGGAUUGAUUAUCCAGAGCUGUUUCGAGGUGUCAUUGGAGAAUUUGGUGACGUGAAUUCGGGGUCGAAUUCCUUGUUAGUGGGGGAGAAUUGUAAUGACCCACCUCCACUAUCCCCACUAUCUCCACCAUCUCCACCAUCCCCACCACACCCACCAUCUCCACCAUCCCCAACUUCUUUAAAGAGAAAGAGAGAGAGAUGGAGGGAGAGAGAGAGAGAGAAAGAGAGAGAGAAAGAGAGAGAAAGCUCACCUGAGCUCGUCGCCGGAGCAACCGUGUGCCGUGAUCACGUUCAGCUUGCCACCACCGAUAAACGCCCUAGGUAACCGUCGGAAACCGCAUUCCUUAAGCUCAUUUUCGUUUCCGUUUAGUAAAUCACCCAUAACUUCCUAACCAUUGAUCAUCUCGUACAUCCAAGGCCAUCAUCGUGUUCCUCUCGUCGAGACGAAGCCGUAGACACCAACCACGCCUCAAACGGAGCCCGGACGAAGCCGCACGCGCCUCCCGAAGAUUCGCCUCGGCGCGCGCGUGAAACUCACGCGCCACCGCCGUCCGCCGGAGCCACCGCGAGUUCCGGCCACGCGCCGCCGUCUCCGACCAACGUUCGCCGGAGCCGCCGUGACCGACCACCGUCCGACCGCCGCCGAGAAGCCGCCGCCGCGUCGCCGCCGUCGCUGCCGUUGAUUUUCCGGUAAGCCGCCGCCGUCGCCGCCGGCGACCGACACCGGUGACUCGCCGGUGACUCGCCAACUCGGCCGAGUCAACCCGGUGAGUCAACUCGGUGACUCGGUCAACCGGUGGUUUGACCGGUUUAAAUCGAUUUCGAUUCGGUUUGAUUAAACCGGUCGGUUAAAAUCAAUUGGAAAUCGGUUAGGGAAAACCGGAUUAAUUAAUUAAUUAAUUAAUUAAUUAAAUAAUUAAUUAAAUUAUUAAUCUUUGACCAGCAGGUUGACUUUCCCGUAAAUACCCGUUUUAAACCGUUCGAAAGGCGUUCUGACUCGAAAUUUCGAUCUGAUUUCAGAUUUGGAGUCCAUUUGAGCAGCUGGAGUUCAUAGAUACCACCUCUUAUUGUUGCUAAGGUGAGGGUCUAUUCCCGAACUCCUCUUAUUCGGCUUAGGACCUCGAAUAAGUAUAAUUUAUUUUUAAUGUGUUCCGUCUGUGUGAAAUCGAGUCUGUCAUUGCUUGUUUAGUUUUAGGUUCUUUGCAUAAACCGGAACUAGGGGGUUAGAGGAUUCAACAUUGAUUGUUUCACUUAAUGUAAAUUCUUAGCUAGGAUUGUUUUUGUUUGGAGACGGAUACAGAGUCGGACUGCUGUAUGCCGGAUUGUAUGGAGGUCACGGCCAACUUUAGUCGACCGGUUGAGCCGUAGACUGGAAGUGUCGAUAAAUCGUCUACGGGCGUGUGUUACCG